rnacentral:misc_RNA from 1 species
UAGCUGCGAUAAGUGGUGUGAAUUGCAGGACACGCCGAGCACUUAAUUUUCGAACGCACAUUGCGGCCUCGAGUCAUUCUCGGGGCCUCGUCUGUCUGAGGGUCGGUAAUUAAAAUCACUCAUGAUAAAGGGUUGCAUCGAGUCAUUGCUUUAAUUAGCAGCGAUUCGUCAGCCGUGUGAUUGCUCUUGAGACAACCGAUUCCUUUCAUGUCUAAGCACUUGAACGGCGGUAGUCGGCACAAAAGUUGAAAGCCGCGAAACCUAGUAAUAUGCUUUAACGUGAACGGGGUUUGACUCAAUUGAGCUACCGAUAAACUAAUUGCAAGUUUCGGCUUGCUAUCUAACUUUUUUUGUCGACCUCAGAUCAGGCGAGAUUACCCGCUUAAUUUAA